UGUGCGUACCUGGUCCAGGAUGAUGUCGUAGCCGUACGGUGCGGUGUGGUGUGCGUACCUGGUCCAGGAUGAUGUCGUAGCCGUACGGUGCGGUGUGGUGUGCGUACCUGGUCCAGGAUGAUGUCGUAGCCGUACGGUGCGGUGUGGUGCUGCGGAUGAAGACGUUGUCCAUCUCGGCGAAGAGCGUGUCGGCGGCGGCGGCGCCGUGCCGCGCGCACAGGAAGCGGCGGAGCUGCCGCAGCCCCCACUUGCAGCCGCGCUCGUGGUCGUAGGCGGGCGCCGUGCGCUGCACCGCCACGUUGGUCAGGUGGGCGUGCUGGUCGUCGAUGCUGCUGAGCGAGAAGCGCGUGGCGGAGAAGCGGGCGAAGCCGUCCCGGUACAGCCACGCCCGCAGCGGCAGGUAGGACGUCACCAGCACGUACACGCGCAGGUCGAACUUCCUGCCGCCGAUCAGGUAGGGGUCCUCGAUGUAGCGCUGCGCCACGUAGCUCUCCACCUGCGCCUCCUCGCGCGCCUCCUCGGCCCGCCCGCGGUCCCGCCGCCAGUCCGUGAUGUCCUUCAGCUUGCGGAACAGGAAGAUGCCGCGGCCCUGCGACCUUGCCGCCGGCUUCAUGAUCCAGGUGCUGCCGGGGCAGCGGCGGAACUCCUCCACGAACAGGUGGUACUCGCUGGGCAGCUCCAGGGUGCAGGGGAAGAAGUCGCAGCGGGCGGCCUCGGCCACGCUGGCCUCGCGCUCCAGCUGCUUGCGAUGCCGCUUCAGGUUCUUCACCAUCAGGUUCUUGCGCGUCAGCUCGUAGUGGUUGCGGAAGUGGCAGAUGCGCACGUGGUCCUCCAGGUAGCUGUGGCCGUAGUUGUCCCGCAGCCAGCCCGUCUCGCACCAGUUGAAGUCCCAGUCCUCGUCCCGGCCCUCCAGCCAGCCCGGGCGCUGCCGCAGGACGUCCUGCAGCGUUUUGGUGGGUGGGCACUUGUAUCGCACGUAGCCCCGCCCCUCGCCCUCCCUCCGCUUAACGUUGCCAUAGGCAACCUUGGAUCCUGCAGCCUGAUCUCAGUGUAUAAAAAAAAAGUUACUUGCUGGAAAAUGUUCUGUAGUUUCAUUCUUCCAUUUUCUCUUCUAAUAUUCAAUUGAAACAAUAAAGCAUAAUAAUGUAUGUCAUAA